rnacentral:rRNA from 1 species
CUAGGACGAACGCUGGCGGCGUGCCUAAUACAUGCAAGUCGAACGGUCUUUCUAUGGAAGCUUGCUUCCACUGAGAAGAUAGUGGCGAACGGGUGAGUAACACGUGGGUAACCUGCCCAUAAGAGGGGGAUAACAUCCGGAAACGGGUGCUAAUACCGCAUAGUUUCUUGAUCGCAUGAUUGAGAAAGGAAAGACGGCCUUUGUGCUGUCGCUUAUGGAUGGACCCGCGGCGUAUUAGUUAGUUGGUGAGGUAACGGCUCACCAAGACGAUGAUACGUAGCCGACCUGAGAGGGUGAUCGGCCACAUUGGGACUGAGACACGGCCCAAACUCCUACGGGAGGCAGCAGUAGGGAAUCUUCCGCAAUGGACGAAAGUCUGACGGAGCAACGCCGCGUGAGUGAAAGAAGGUUUUCGGAUCGUAAAACUCUGUUGUCAGAGAAGAACAAGUUGGAGAGUAACUGCUCCAGCCUUGACGGUAUCUGACCAGAAAGCCACGGCUAACUACGUGCCAGCCGCCGC